GCCCGGGUGGCGAAACUGGUAUACGCACAACACUUAAAAUGUUGCGUCUUAUAGACAUGCGGGUUCGAUUCCCGCCCCGGGCACCA
rnacentral:tRNA from 1 species